rnacentral:misc_RNA from 1 species
GAUGAAGAACGCGGCGAAAUGCGAUAAGUAAUGUGAAUUGCAGAAUUCAGUGAAUCAUCGAAUCUUUGAACGCACAUUGCGCCCGCCAGUAUUCUGGCGGGCAUGCCUGUUCGAGCGUCAUUACAACCCUCAGGCCCCCGGGCCUGGCGUUGGGGAUCGGCGGAAGCCCCCUGCGGGCACAACGCCGUCCCCCAAAUACAGUGGCGGUCCCGCCGCAGCUUCCAUUGCGUAGUAGCUAACACCUCGCAACUGGAGAGCGGCGCGGCCACGCCGUAAAACACCCAACUUCUGAAUGUUGACCUCGAAUCAGGUAGGAAUACCCGCUGAACUUAAGCAUAUCAAUAAGCGGAGGA